rnacentral:tRNA from 1 species
GGAGCAGUAGCUCAGUGGUUGAGCUUCCCCUUUGUAUGCGGGAAGACCGGGUUCGAUUCCCGGCUGCUUUC